rnacentral:tRNA from 2 species
GCCGAUGUAGCUCAGCGGUAGAGCGCGUCCUUGGUAAGGACGAGGUCACCGGUUCAAGCCCGGUCAUCGGCUCCA